AUUGAACGCUGGCGGCAUGCCUUACACAUGCAAGUCGAACGGUAACGGGCCUUCGGGUGCCGACGAGUGGCGAACGGGUGAGUAAUACAUCGGAACGUGCCCGAUCGUGGGGGAUAACGAGGCGAAAGCUUUGCUAAUACCGCAUACGAUCUACGGAUGAAAGCAGGGGACCGCAAGGCCUUGCGCGGACGGAGCGGCCGAUGGCAGAUUAGGUAGUUGGUGGGAUAAAAGUUUACCAAGCCGACGACCUGUAGCUGGUCUGAGAGGAUGAUCAGCCACACUGGGACUGAGACACGGCCCAGACUCCUACGGGAGGCAGCAGUGGGGAAUUUUGGACAAUGGGCGCAAGCCUGAUCCAGCCAUGCCGCGUGCAGGAUGAAGGCCUUCGGGUUGUAAACUGCUUUUGUACGGAACGAAAAGCCUUCUUUUAAUACAGGAGGGUCAUGACGGUACCGUAAGAAUAAGCACCGGCUAACUACGUG
rnacentral:rRNA from 1 species